rnacentral:tRNA from 1 species
GCCCCCGUGGUGUAGCGGUCAAUCAUGCGGGCCUUUGGAGCCCGCGACCGGGGUUCGAAUCCCCGCGGGGCUA